rnacentral:lncRNA from 1 species
AAUGAUCAGAGGAUGAUAUAACAUUCAUUUAAUUUGGAUGAUGCGUAGUGAAGCAACUGAAACAAGUUUGUCAUUUUAUUAUAACUGUCGAAAAAUCAAGUGAAACAAGCGAAAAUUCCAAAGACUAUCUAUCGAGAAUUACAAUUUUUCUCGAAGAUGGUUUCGUCUGAACUUCAAAUUAACCCUCCAUAUGCUAAUAUGAAUUAGACUUUUAAAUCCACCAAAUUAAACUACAUAUGCAACAAAUUUAACAAUAUAUCAAUCCACAAAUUCAUCCUACAUUUAAAGUUUACAUUUGCUUAGGAAGUUACAGUAAGUAAAAGAUUCCUACAUACCUUAUUCAAUUACUAUACUUACAAAUUGAAUAAUCAAAACAGUGAGAAAACAAAAUCACAGAAAAUGCUCUGAAAUCACAACCACUCAAACAAAUGCAAAUUUCUUCUAGGCUUGAGAAUUUAAGUGACUACUCCUCUUUAAUUCAUACUUUCAUAUGGGUCAUAGAUACAAACAUAGAUACGCAACUUGCUUACAAACAUCAAUUGCACCCUGAUUGUUCAUAAUACAGACACGUAACCAAAACUUAAUUAAGAAAUCAUAAAAAUUAAAAAAUAAAUAAAAACCCAACAAACCCAGUUGAAAGAAUAGAAACAACAAAGGAAGGGGGGAAAAAAAAGGACAACUAAAAGAACAUAUCUAGGUUUUCCAUAAGCCAAAAAUCAAACUAACGAAAUUUUUUUACCCAAUAUAACAGGAAAAAUGCGUGAAAUAUCAACCUCAAAGAACAUGAAGAUGGUAAAACAUUAAAUCAAAACCCUCGAUAUCAAUUUUUUUCCUCAAAUUAAAAUCACAUCCAACUAGGGGUGGGCAAAAAAAUCAAACCAACCCACGAAAAUCGACCAACCCAAACCGAACCGAUUGAUUUGGUUCGAUUUUUUCUUAAAAUACUAUUGGGUUGAAUUUUUUUAGAAGCAAAUGGGUUGAGUUGUUUGGGUUAUGGGUUGAUCCAUCAAACCGAUAAAACCCACCCAACCCAACCGCCUACUUAAAAGUGAAAAAAAUUUAAGCAAAUGCAAAAAUUAAAAAAUUGAAACCUCAAGGCCCUAGUUUACAAUGUUUUAUCAUUUCUCUCAUACUUUCUCUUUUUCUCUAGCCAUAAAACUAAAUGAUGCACUCUCUCAUUUUCUCUCGUUCAAGCCUGUCGAUCGUCGCCAACUUUGUUUGGCUUGACACUAAUCAUCGUGCUUUAUUCAUAUUGGUACUCUUAACUUUAAAUUUUAAGUUGACCAUUCAUUUAUGUUUUGCGAAUGUGAUAAUUUGGGGCUUAGUUUCAGGCUUAUUUUUUCUCUAAGCAAGAUGAUUAUUUGUAUAAUAUAUGCAUUUUCCUUCAUGCCUAAUUACAAGUUUUUGUUCAUGGUGAAGCAUUGUGGUUGAUAGGUUUUUAUUGCCGAGCAUAUUUUUAUGAUUUUUAAUGUCUAAACCAACCAACCUAACCCGACCCGAUCGAAAUUGGAUUGAAAUACAUAAUUGAGUUGUGAUGAUUUGAUUUUAGAUCAAACUGAUCAUGUUGAGUUGGAUUUGGAUUGCAUAAUAAAUCGACCCAACCCAACCACGCCUACCCUUACAUCUAACCAUAACACAAAUACAGCAUAAAUUAUUCAAAACGUUUAAAAGUUAAAGAAAAUGAAAAAGAUAUUUACCUCUUUCGAUUAAUCCUAUGGAAGGGAAAAUUGAACAUUGGAGAAAGAUGUAGAUAUGAGUUCAAUGGUUGUAAGUUAUCGAUCGUUGAAAUGAGGAGCGAUUAUUUUGGGGAAGGCUGCUU